rnacentral:rRNA from 1 species
ACAACCCGUAAAGGGGAACCUAACCCUACAGGGACUCGAGAUAACCCCGGGAAACUUGUGGGCUAAUGUUAGAUAGAUAAAAGAUACUGGAAUGUUCUUUUAUCCAAAGCUUUUGCGCCUGAGGAUGGGCCUGCGUCCGAUUAGGUUGUUGGUGGGGUAAUGGCCCACCAAGCCUACGAUCGGUACGGGCAGUGGGAGCUGAAGCCCGGAGUUGGGGACUGAGACAAGGCCCCAGGCCCUACGGGGCGCAGCAGGCGCGAAACCUCUGCAAUGCGGGAAACCGUGACAGGGGGAUCCCAAGUGCUCAUGCAUUGCAUGGGCUGUUCUUUGGUCUAAGUAACCAGAGGAGUAAGGGCUGAGCAAGACCGGUGCCAGCCGCCGCGGUAAUACCGGCAGCUCAAGUGGUAGCCGCGAUUAUUGGGCCUAAAACGUUCGUAGCCGGAUAAGUAAGUCUUUGGUUAAAUCCUGCGACUUAACCGUGGGAAAUCUAGAGAUACUGCUUGUCUUGAGACCGGGAGAGGUUGGAGGUACUCCUAGGGUAGGGGUGAAAUCCUGUAAUCCUAGGGGGACCACCUGUGGCGAAGGCGUCCAACUGGAACGGGUCUGACGGUGAGGGGACGAAACCUAGGGGAGCGAGCCGGAUUAGAUACCCGGGUAGUCCUAGGCGUAAAUGAUGCGAGUUAAGUGUGGGGGGCAUCUACGAGAUGGGCCCUGUGCUGUAGGGUAGCCGGUUAACUCGCUGCCUGGGGAGUACGGUCGCAAGGCUGAACUUAAGGGAAUUGGCGGGGGAGCACCACAAGAGUGAGGCUGCCGUUCAAUUGGACUCAACGCGGAAAACUCACGGGAGCGACAGCAGUAUGAUUGCCAGUUGAUGACUUUGCUUGACAGCUGAAAAGAGUGCAUGCCGCGGUCAGAUCGUAUCGGUGAAGGCGUCCUGGUAGUCAAGGCAACGAAACGAGAUCCCUUUGGCAUCUAUGCAGCCGAAUUCCUUCAGAUGCCUGUAACUAGAUGAUCGCACUGGCUAAGUGACAGCAAGUCGUC